UCUAUAAAAGAUGGUCUAAUAUGAUGACAAGUGUCCCAAAAGUGGUUUGUUUUAUUAUAUAGUUUAGAUAGAUGUGUCAAACUACCAAAAAAGUAUUGGUUUAAAAAGAAGCGGGUCACAGGUCGAAUGGCAUCUCAACCGCAGUUGAAUGCAUAGAACCUCUAAAACAUUUGUUCGACGAGCCUUUAUUUUCAAAUUCGACCUUGAUUCAUUGAUUGAUACUUCGAGCUCGACUCGACUAAGGUUAGUAUUACUCAACUCAAUACUCGACUAGACAGUAUUACUUAACACGACACUUGAGCUCCACUUGAUCUUGAUUCAACCAAACACGGGCCUAUUUCAAGUAUUUUUCGAGCUGAUCCCAACUUCUAAGACAAAGUUGAACAUGCAAUGGUUGCUAGCUAGUAUUAUUAUACAAUGGCAACGAUCCGACCCGUUACUAUAAACUGUUUUAACCACCAACCAACCGUUGUACAUCGAGACCAAACAAAAAACAAACAUGGGGUACAGGGGCGGAGCUUAUGUUCACUAUGGAACUAUAACUUUAUCAUUAUUUCUAUUAAUUAGAUAGCCUUAGGCAUGAGUUUCAUAAGUCAUACUAUAUCUAGACCACCAUUAGAUUCAAAAGUACAACACAUCCAUAUUAUGACUCUUGACUCUUGACUUUGACUCUAUCUACAAAACUUUCAUACUUUUAAGCUGUAACUAGAUGACUAGCUCCCUUUAACGGAAGCAUGCAAGAGUACGUCACAUACUUCACACUGUCUAACAAAACCACGACAAAUAUUCUCGAAAACGACUUACCCUUGGCGCCGCCACCCAUCACACCGUCCACAUCACCGCCAUCCCCCGCCUCACGGGGAUCAAACAACACAGAAACCACCAUCGGUGAGACAGAAUUGUUUUUGUGGUGCGGUUCGUUGUGGUUUGAGUCGUGAUCGUUUGCUUCUGUCGCCGCCGACACUUGUUCUUUUGUGAGGUUAACGGCGGAAGUGGAAAGGGGAACCGGAAGACCGUGGAGGAUUCUUCGGUUUUUCAUGGUGCUGAUGUAAGUUGAGUUGUGGUGGUUUUCAGUGGCGGUGAUGUUGACUACUGAUGUGGCGGGAACUAUGGCUGACGAUACGUCAAACUGAAAUACUUCGGUGCACAUGCCGGAACUCAACAUAGGUCCUGUGCCUUCGCGAAACCACUGUUGCAAUUUACCAUCAGCAUGUUUCGACUUCAAAUUCUCCUUAUCUGAUGCCAGAGCCCUUUGAUGAUCACUUGAAGACCUAUACAUAUGUGGUUGUCUUCCACCGUUCAAUUUUACCGCUGGAAUAGAAAUCGCAGGGACCAAAUCUUGCGAAACCGCCAAACCGAGAUCUUCUUUUUUACUCAUCCCUUGUUCUUCCCUAGACGCCAUAGCUUUCUCACUCGCUAGAACCGAAUGGAUUAUCAGAUUCCCGUCGAUUUUCACAAGCUUAUCGUUCCUCGGAACGUAAAGAGACGCCACAAGCGGCUCACUCGCGUUACGAUUAGUCCCGUUUAAAUGAUCGUCACUCAUCAACACUCUUCCAUGAUGUUGCUGAUUGUAUAUCUUAUAAUCAUUAGACUUAACGGAAUAAACACCAUUUGUUACUACUCCACCUAACUUGACAUUCAUUAUCGGAACUAACCCACCAAACAGCAAGAUAAAUAACAACAAUCCGACAAAACUAAUGCCCGCAACCCUUUUAGUUUUCGUUUUAGUUUUCGAUACACCUUCAGAACCUUUCUUUACCUCAACCUUCUUAGAUUUCUGCGAAGAUGCCGGUUGUUGAGGCUUCAAUCGCGGUAUUGGGACUAACGGCACUUGAGACCCCUGCGGUUUAACAACGUAAGGCGGACAAGGCAUCCAUGGAUAUCCCGUUGGCGCCAUCCCAGGGUGCG
rnacentral:lncRNA from 1 species